AGUGAACGCUGGCGGCGUGCCUAAUACAUGCAAGUCGAACGGAGAUUAGGUAGCUUGCUAUUUACUCUUAGUGGCGCACGGGUGAGUAAUAUAUAGCUAACUUGCCCAUUACUAAGGGACAACAGUUGGAAACGACUGCUAAUACCUUAUACUCCGUAUCUAUAUAAGUAGAUACGGGAAAGUUUUUCGGUAAUGGAUAGGGCUAUAUCGUAUCAGCUAGUUGGUAAGGUAAUGGCUUACCAAGGCUAUGACGCGUAACUGGUCUGAGAGGAUGAUCAGUCACACUGGAACUGAGACACGGUCCAGACUCCUACGGGAGGCAGCAGUAGGGAAUAUUGCUCAAUGGGGGAAACCCUGAAGCAGCAACGCCGCGUGGAGGAUGACACUUUUCGGAGCGUAAACUCCUUUUCUUGGGAAAGAAUUAUGACGGUACCCAAGGAAUAAGCACCGGCUAACUCCGUG
rnacentral:rRNA from 1 species